UAAUGCAUGGCAAAACCAAGCAUUAAACCCAGCCAGUCUGGUUUAGGGGACCACAUUCCCAGCCUUGACACAGUGCUGCCUAAGGAUCUGGUGGUAGAUGGCGUGAUAAGCUGUUUCAGUGAAUUCUUGGAUUAACUUUUACUAUGACGAGGAGCCCCUUUUCAGCUUAAAGUUUAGGAAAAUUAUGUUACCACCCACCACUCCUAUGCCCUAGGAGUCCCGAUAGGUAGAGAGAAUGCAGGAACUGUGUGCGUGUAUCCAGCCCUGCUCUGCAACUGGGAGGAGGCUGAUCCCUUGGCAGAUGCGUCUUGCAAGGCAGCACCAAUGCUCGUGGCCGCUGCGGUUUCCUGUCACAGAUGACGUCAUUUGCCUGCUCUAGAAGGCAGAGCAUGGGAAAAACACGAGAAGAACAUUGAGUUUAGAUUUGGGAAGGCCAGGAUUCAAAUCUUGGUCCCUGCAUUUACUACUUUAUGACAUUGGCCCUCCCAAUUUAGCACACAGAACGCUGCUCCCUACAGAAAACAACUCCCCAGCAAAGUGUGAGUUUCCAUAGUUAGUUGCUGGAGCUCUGGAUGUGAAGAGAGCUGUAAAGCCACAAAGCUUUAAUUAGAGAACAAUAUCAAGAAAUCAGGUCCACUGCCAUGGCUCAGUUCCUGACACAAAACUGGCUGCAGGAGCUGACAGGCUGCAGGCUUUGCCACAUCUCCUGAGACCGACAAGCAUGAAGUCGAUAGGAAGCUCUGGAGGCUGCCUGAAACAGGGGACCUGGCUUUCUCAAGCUCCAUCCACUGCCCUGACAGUUACCAAUAUCAAAUAAAAUAUACGUGACCAGCCCUUUCUGUUAUUGGCACUGGGAGUUCUACAGAAACCAGGCACGAAGUUCUGGAUUCUUUAAAAUCUCUAUCCUCUAUCUUUGCCUUUUUCAAUUUAGCAUUACAUGCAACUUCCUUCUGUAUUGUUUUCUAUUUUGCAAGCACACACCACCUGGAAGCGUUGCCAGGUACACUGCCGCGCACAGUGGGGGAGGGUCCCUUCAUACGCAAACACUGUUUUCUUCUCUCCCCUGUCCCCCACCCCCACCUCACACCAUAG